AGCGAACGCUGGCGGCAGGCUUAACACAUGCAAGUCGAGCGGAGAUGAGGUGCUUGCACCUUAUCUUAGCGGCGGACGGGUGAGUAAUGCUUAGGAAUCUGCCUAUUAGUGGGGGACAACAUUCCGAAAGGAAUGCUAAUACCGCAUACGUCCUACGGGAGAAAGCAGGGGAUCUUCGGACCUUGCGCUAAUAGAUGAGCCUAAGUCGGAUUAGCUAGUUGGUGGGGUAAAGGCCUACCAAGGCGACGAUCUGUAGCGGGUCUGAGAGGAGGAUCCGCCACACUGGGACUGAGACACGGCCCAGACUCCUACGGGAGGCAGCAGUGGGGAAUAUUGGACAAUGGGGGGAACCCUGAUCCAGCCAUGCCGCGUGUGUGAAGAAGGCCUUAUGGUUGUAAAGCACUUUAAGCGAGGAGGAGGCUACUGAGACUAAUACUCUCGGAUAGUGGACGUUACUCGCAGAAUAAGCACCGGCUAACUCUGUGCCAGCCGCCGCGGUAAAAC
rnacentral:rRNA from 1 species